rnacentral:misc_RNA from 1 species
GAAAUGCGAUAAUUAAUGUGAAUUGCAGACUUCAGUGAAUCAUCGAGUCUUUGAACGCACAUUGCGCCCCCUGGUAUUCCGGGGGGCAUGCCUGUCCGAGCGUCAUUGCUGCCCUCAAGCACGGCUUGUGUGUUGGGCUUCCGUCCCUGGCAACGGGGACGGGCCCAAAAGGCAGUGGCGGCACCAUGUCUGGUCCUCGAGCGUAUGGGGCUUUGUCACCCGCUCCCGUAGGUCCAGCUGGCAGCUAGCCUCGCAACCAAUCUUUUUAACCAGGUUGACCUCGGAUCAGGUAGGGAUACCCGCUGAACUUAAGC